AGAACGAACGCUGGCGGCAGGCCUCAAACAUGCAAGUCUAGGGGGGUGUAGCAAUACAUCACCGGCGGACGGGUGCGUAACACGUGGGAAUAUACCUUUCGGUACGGAACAACUGCGGGAAACUGCAGCUAAUACCGUAUACGUCCUAGCGGAGAAAGAUUUAUCGCCGAAGGAUUAGCCCGCGUUCGAUUAGCUAGUUGGUGGGGUAAUGGCCCACCAAGGCGACGAUCGAUAGCUGUUCUGAGAGGAAGAUCAGCCACACUGGGACUGAGACACGGCCCAGACUCCUACGGGAGGCAGCAGUUGGGAAUCUUGGACAAUGGGGGAACCCUGAUCCAGCCAUGCCGCGUGAGUGAUGAAGGCCUUCGGGUUGUAAAACUCUUUCGACGGGGACGAUAAUGACGGUACCCGUAGAAGAAGCUCCGGCUAACUUCGUGCCAGCAGCCGC
rnacentral:rRNA from 1 species